rnacentral:rRNA from 1 species
UUAAGCGACUAAGCGUACACGGUGGAUGCCUAGGCAGUCAGAGGCGAUGAAGGGCGUGCUAAUCUGCGAAAAGCGUCGGUAAGGUGAUAUGAACCGUUACAACCGACGAUACCCGAAUGGGGAAACCCAGUGCAAUUCGUUGCACUAUUGCAUGGUGAAUACAUAGCCAUGCAAGGCGAACCGGGGGAACUGAAACAUCUAAGUACCCCGAGGAAAAGAAAUCAACCGAGAUUCCCCUAGUAGCGGCGAGCGAACGGGGAGGAGCCCAGAGUCUGAAUCAGUUUGUGUGUUAGUGGAAGCGUCUGGAAAGUCGCACGGUACAGGGUGAUAGUCCCGUACACAAAAACACACUUGCUGUGAACUCGAUGAGUAGGGCGGGACACGUGACAUCCUGUCUGAAUAUGGGGGGACCAUCCUCCAAGGCUAAAUACUCCUGACUGACCGAUAGUGAACCAGUACCGUGAGGGAAAGGCGAAAAGAACCCCGGCGAGGGGAGUGAAAUAGAACCUGAAACCGUGUACGUACAAGCAGUGGGAGCACCUUCGUGGUGUGACUGCGUACCUUUUGUAUAAUGGGUCAGCGACUUAUAUUUUGUAGCAAGGUUAACCGAAUAGGGGAGCCGUAGGGAAACCGAGUCUUAACUGGGCGUCUAGUUGCAAGGUAUAGACCCGAAACCCGGUGAUCUAGCCAUGGGCAGGUUGAAGGUUGGGUAACACUAACUGGAGGACCGAACCGACUAAUGUUGAAAAAUUAGCGGAUGACUUGUGGCUGGGGGUGAAAGGCCAAUCAAACCGGGAGAUAGCUGGUUCUCCCCGAAAGCUAUUUAGGUAGCGCCUCGUGAACUCAUCUUCGGGGGUAGAGCACUGUUUCGGCUAGGGGGUCAUCCCGACUUACCAAACCGAUGCAAACUCCGAAUACCGAAGAAUGUUAUCACGGGAGACACACGGCGGGUGCUAACGUCCGUCGUGAAGAGGGAAACAACCCAGACCGCCAGCUAAGGUCCCAAAGUCAUGGUUAAGUGGGAAACGAUGUGGGAAGGCAUAGACAGCCAGGAUGUUGGCUUAGAAGCAGCCAUCAUUUAAAGAAAGCGUAAUAGCUCACUGGUCGAGUCGGCCUGCGCGGAAGAUGUAACGGGGCUAAACCAUGCACCGAAGCUGCGGCAGCGACACUUAGGUGUUGUUGGGUAGGGGAGCGUUCUGUAAGCCGUUGAAGGUGACCUGUGAGGGUUGCUGGAGGUAUCAGAAGUGCGAAUGCUGACAUAAGUAACGAUAAUGCGGGUGAAAAACCCGCACGCCGGAAGACCAAGGGUUCCUGUCCAACGUUAAUCGGGGCAGGGUGAGUCGACCCCUAAGGCGAGGCUGAAAAGCGUAGUCGAUGGGAAACAGGUUAAUAUUCCUGUACUUGGUGUUACUGCGAAGGGGGGACGGAGAAGGCUAGGCUAGCCGGGCGACGGUUGUCCCGGUUUAAGCAUGUAGGCGGAGCGACUUGGUAAAUCCGGUUGCUUAUCAACGCUGAGGUGUGAUGACGAGUCACUACGGUGAUGAAGUAGUUGAUGCCAAGCUUCCAGGAAAAGCCUCUAAGCAUCAGGUAACAUUAAAUCGUACCCCAAACCGACACAGGUGGUCAGGUAGAGAAUACUCAGGCGCUUGAGAGAACUCGGGUGAAGGAACUAGGCAAAAUGGUGCCGUAACUUCGGGAGAAGGCACGCUGGCAUUAGGUAAAGGGACUUGCUCCCGGCGCCGAAGCCAGUCGCAGAUACCAGCUGGCUGCAACUGUUUAAUAAAAACACAGCACUGUGCAAACACGAAAGUGGACGUAUACGGUGUGACGCCUGCCCGGUGCUGGAAGGUUAAUUGAUGGGGUCAGCCGCAAGGCGAAGCUCUUGAUCGAAGCCCCAGUAAACGGCGGCCGUAACUAUAACGGUCCUAAGGUAGCGAAAUUCCUUGUCGGGUAAGUUCCGACCUGCACGAAUGGCGUAAUGAUGGCCAGGCUGUCUCCACCCGAGACUCAGUGAAAUUGAACUCGCUGUGAAGAUGCAGUGUACCCGCGGCAAGACGGAAAGACCCCGUGAACCUUUACUAUAGCUUGACACUGAACAUUGAGCCUUGAUGUGUAGGAUAGGUGGGAGGCAUUGAAGUGUGGACGCCAGUCUGCAUGGAGCCAACCUUGAAAUACCACCCUUUAAUGUUUGAUGUUCUAACUCGGCCCCGUAAUCCGGGGUGAGGACAGUGUCUGGUGGGUAGUUUGACUGGGGCGGUCUCCUCCCCAAGAGUAACGGAGGAGCACGAAGGUUAGCUAAUCACGGUCGGACAUCGUGAGGUUAGUGCAAAGGCAUAAGCUAGCUUGACUGCGAGAGUGACGGCUCGAGCAGGUACGAAAGUAGGUCUUAGUGAUCCGGUGGUUCUGAAUGGAAGGGCCAUCGCUCAACGGAUAAAAGGUACUCCGGGGAUAACAGGCUGAUACCGCCCAAGAGUUCAUAUCGACGGCGGUGUUUGGCACCUCGAUGUCGGCUCAUCACAUCCUGGGGCUGAAGUAGGUCCCAAGGGUAUGGCUGUUCGCCAUUUAAAGUGGUACGCGAGCUGGGUUUAGAACGUCGUGAGACAGUUCGGUCCCUAUCUGCCGUGGGCGUUGGAAGAUUGAGAGGGGCUGCUCCUAGUACGAGAGGACCGGAGUGGACGAAUCACUGGUGUUCGGGUUGUCAUGCCAAUGGCAUUGCCCGGUAGCUAAAUUCGGAAGAGAUAACCGCUGAAAGCAUCUAAGCGGGAAACUUGCCUCGAGAUGAGUCUUCCCUGGGGCUUUAAGCCCCCUGAAGGAACGUUAAAGACUAUGACGUUGAUAGGCUGGGUGUGUAAGUGCAGCGAUGCAUUGAGCUAACCAGUACUAAUGAUCCGUGAGGCUUAACCUU